GAGCGUUGUAUACGCGGAGAAACAGUAGCGCAAGCGGCUGUGGAGUGUAUAGAAGUGAGAAUGCCGGAAUGAGUAGCGCGAAUGCAGUGAGAAUCUGCAUGGCCGAAAGCCUCAGGUUUCUGGAGGAAGGUUCGUCCGCUCCAGGUUAGUCGGGAGCUAAGGUGAGGCCGGAAGGCGUAGCCGAUGCACAGACGGUAGAGAUUCCGUCACCACCAAAAGAGUUAAGCACAGGGACACAUAUGAAGUCUCAGAGCCGGGUGUUGGUUCCGGUAGAGAUCGAGGGAAAUUAGUACCGAAGUCUGAGAUGGAAGAUGGCGAGAAAAGCUGUGUGUAUUUCUGAGGUGCCCGUACCGCAAACCGACACAGGUAGGUAGGAAGAAGAUUCUAAGGCCAACGGGAGAAGGGUUGUUAAGGAACUCGGCAAAUUGACCCCGUAACUUCGGGAGAAGGGGUGCUCCAGAGAUGGAGCCGCAGAGAAUCGGCCCAAGCAACUGUUUACCAAAAACACAGGUUUGUGCUAAAUCGAAAGAUGACGUAUACGAGCUGACGCCUGCCCGGUGCUGGAAGGUUAAGAGGAGAUGUGCAAGCAUUGAAUCGAAGCCCCAGUGAACGGCGGCCGUAACUAUAACGGUCCUAAGGUAGCGAAAUUCCUUGUCAGGUAAGUUCUGACCCGCAUGAAAGGCGUAAUGAUUUGGGCACUGUCUCAACAGCCCGCCCGGCGAAAUUGUAGUACCGGUGAAGAUGCCGGUUACCCGCGACAAGACGGAAAGACCCCAUGGAGCUUUACUGUAGCCUAAUAUUGGGUUUCGAUGUUGCAUGCACAGGAUAGAUGGGACUCUGGGAAACCAAGGCUUUGGCUUUGGCGGAGAGGCCGUUGGGAUACCAUCCUUGCGAUAUUGGAAUUCUAACCUGCGGCUCUGAAUCGAGUCGGGGGACAUUGUUAGGUGGGCAGUUUGACUGGGGCGGUCGCCUCCUAAAGAGUAACGGAGGCGUUCAAAGGUUCGCUCAGCUUGAACGGAAAUCAAGCAAAAGAGUGCAAACGCAGAAGCGAGCCUAACUGCGAGACUGACGGGUCGAGCAGUAACGAAAGUUGGAGUUAGUGAUCCGGUGGUAUGUGAGUGGAAAUGCCAUCGCUCAACGGAUAAAAGUUACCCUGGGGAUAACAGGCUGAUCUCCCCCAAGAGUCCACAUCGACGGGGAGGUUUGGCACCUCGAUGUCGGCUCAUCGCAUCCUGGGGCUGUAUUCGGUCCCAAGGGUUUGGCUGUUCGCCAAUUAAAGCGGUACGCGAGCUGGGUUCAGAACGUCGUGAGACAGUUCGGUCCCUAUCUGUCGUGGGCGCAGGAUAUUUGAUGGGAGCUGUCCCUAGUACGAGAGGACCGGGACGGACGUACCUCUGGCGCACCAGUUGUUCCGCCAGGAGCAUAGCUGGGCAACUACGUACGGAUCGGAUAAACGCUGAAAGCAUCUAAGCGUGAAGCCGACCCAAAGAUAAGAUAUCCCACUGAUUUGAUCAGGUAAGAUCCCUUGCAGACUACGAGGUUGAUAGGCACGAUGUGUAAGUGGAGCGAUCCAUUCAGCAAGUGUGUACUAAUAGAUCGAGGGCUUGACCA
rnacentral:rRNA from 1 species